rnacentral:rRNA from 1 species
CCUAUGGGGGGCAGCAGGCGCGAAAACUUUACAAUGCGGGCAACCGUGAUAAGGGAACCUCGAGUGCCUGUAUAUGCAGGCUGUCCAGGUGUCUAAAACACACCUGAAGAAAGGGCCGGGCAAGACCGGUGCCAGCCGCCGCGGUAAUACCGGCGGCUCGAGUGGUGGCCACUUUUAUUGGGCUUAAAGCGUUCGUAGCUGGGUUGUUAAGUCUCUUGGGAAAUCUGGCAGCUUAACUGUCAGGCGUCUAAGGGAUACUGGCAAUCUUGGGACCGGGAGAGGUGAGGGGUACUUCGGGGGUAGGAGUGAAAUCCUGUAAUCCUCGAGGGACCACCUGUGGCGAAGGCGCCUCACCAGAACGGCUUCGACAGUGAGGGACGAAAGCUGGGGGAGCAAACCGGAUUAGAUACCCCAGUAGUCC